rnacentral:tRNA from 1 species
GUCUUCGUGGCUCAGUUGGCUAGAGCGUUGGUCUCAUAUUCGUAUGAUCCAGUCGUAGACUGGGAUAUCCAAAGGUCGUGAGUUCGAGCCUCACCGAGGACA